rnacentral:lncRNA from 1 species
CACCCAGUGGAUUAAAGAUCCAGCAUUGCUGCAAGCUGCGGUGUAGUUUGCAUGUGUGGCUCAGAUCUGGUGUUGCCGCAGCUGUGGUGUAGGCCAGCAGUUGCAUCUCUGAUUUGACCCCUAGCCCAGGAAUUUCCAUAUGCCACAGGUGUGGCCCUAAAAGAAAAGAAAAAGAAAAAAGAAGAAACCAAUUUUUGGUGUAUAAAUAGGCUCUUUCUGGUACUGCCAGAAAAAAAAUUAAAAUGCCUACUCUUGGGUUUUCAUUGUUAGUGAAAAUAGAACAAAAAUAAUUGUACUGGAAAACAGGUAAAUUUUUCGUUUUAUUUUAAAAUGAAAGUAUGUAUUUCAAGUGAACUAUUUAAAUUCAAGUAUUUGAAAUUUUAAUUAUAAAGAGGAUUCAAUUCACCUCCACAUCCAUAUGUUGACUAAUUAAUAUUGUCUUUAAAUAAAAGCUUUUGCCAUUAUUUUGAGGAAAGUGAGCUAUUUUUACUACAGGUACUUGUAAAUUAAUUCCUUGGAGAAUAAAACCCUCAAGGUAUUAAACAUGAUACAUGAAUAUUUAAUAGAUAACAAAUAUUUAUAAUGUUUAAACAAGAAAGUAAAUUAGCAUCGAAUUAAAUAAGCAGCUCUGGAUAUUUAUCCCCACUAUUGGAGAGAAUUGUGUAGUUUGGUGUUUCUGUUUGUUGUUGUUUGUCAUCUGUUCUGCCAUCUCAGCUAAACUCAUGAAUUGAGAAGCAGCCUGGGCUUAUUUCCACAACAUUCAGACCUUACUGUGCAUUUACAUUUGCUUACAAUAUGCUUCUCUUUUCUUUCCAAGCGUGGUCAUCUUUCAUUUUCACACCAUAGGGUACUCUGCAAAGCCACUAUAUAUAGUGCCAUCAAAUUGUCAUAGACGGCAAGGUAAAAAAGGAUACUGUCAAAUGCCAUUUUUUAAAACUUCAAUUUUUUUUCUCUCUUCAUUGUUUAUGAUAACCUCCUAGAACCUUGAAAAUAGCUUUUCCUUCUCUGCUGUUUUUUUGUCAUUUGUGUUUGGAAGUCAAUUUUUAUUUUAUUUUUUUUAAGUGAAAAUAGUUAUGUUGCCUCUAACUGAGAAGGAGAAAAAAUUCCAAAGCUCUGUACACUUUCAUUUUCCUCUGUAAUGAAGAUGUUGUCUGUAUUUUUUAUUGGAUUAUUUUGGUGGAGUUUAUGAGAAGAAUUAGGAAAGCAGUUAUUAAGAGCAUGGCCUCUGAUGUCUUACUGCUUGGGUUCAGAUAUUGGCCCAAGCAGUUUACUAGCUGAGAGUGGAGAUGUAACUUGGGGACAAUUACACCAUCUCUCUGUUCCUCUACGUUCUCAUCUGUAAAAUUGGAAUUUACGUAACAGUACUGACUCGCAAAGUUAUUAUGAAGAUUUAAUGAGUCAAUGUUUGUAAAAUAUUGGCUAGGAUAUAGUAAAUGGUAUGUGUUCUUAAAUAAAAACAAAUAUUUCCCCCUCCUCCAAUUUUACUACACUCCUCCUUUGUCUUCAUGGUAUGACUUAGUGGGACACAGAAUUCACAUUUCUUCACAAACUCCUCCUCAGAGAAGUAGAGCCCUUAAUUAAACUGUAGGUCAUUUUUGAAAUUUAAUCUUCUCAAGAGUUGAAAUGCAUCAGUUUGCCAUUCAUCCCUGUGCUUUGGUUGAGAGAAGACAUUAUUAAGAGGUUAAACUAUAUUUUUCCAUACAUCGAUUCCAACUAACUCAUAACAUGUCUUCAUUUUGAUUUAGAGGGAGCUGCACUCAUGUUCUUGUGAAGAACUUUUAGUUUAAAAUUUCACAAGUACUAGGUAUGUAAACUUGAAAGCACACACAUUUUCAAAGAUGAUUCUAGGAGAUAUAACUUUAUUCUUCAAAAAGAAAAAAAAGUCCCAGUGAGCAUGAGAGUAUGUAAAUGUGUAUUUAGAAAAUUGGUUAUAAACCUUCAGGCCUUAAUAUAUUUCUUUUAUCUAAACAGAGUUAAAAUGAGUCAUUUUUGAAACCUAGGAGAUCAGGGGUAGUUUAUCUUACAUAGAAGGCAACAACAGAGAAAGCAUGAUCUCUUGACUGAGGGAAUGUGGGGGCAUUUCAGUGUGUGGAGACCAUUUUCAGUAAUCAGAAGGUUACACAGGAUAGGUUGUUUACUUCAUUGAAGACAUAAUAUCCUGGAUGACAACUGUCUUAGUCAGUUCCGGUUGCCAAAUUACUAUACACUGGGUGGCUUAAACAACAAACAUUUAUUUCUCACAGUUCUGGACAUGGAGAAGCCCCCGAUCAAAGUGCCAGCACAUCUGGUGUUUGAUGAGAGCCUGUUUCCGGGUGUGCAGAUGGCCACCUAUUCGCUGUGUUCUUAGUUACAAGGAGACAGUAAGGAGGAACAAGCUCUCUUGUGUCUCUUCAUGUAAAGACACUAAUCCCAGCACUAGGGCGCCACUCUCGUGACCUCAGUACCUGCCAAAGACCUCAUCUCCUCAGACCAUCAUGUUGGGGAUUUAGAGCUUUAACACAGAAAUUUUUGUGGGGGACACAAAGCUUUAGUUGAUAGCAGAAACUUUUACACUCCGCUGAAAUACAGAAGUCUGCAAAGCUGAAGUAGCUUAACCCAACAUCUUCUCACAGGGCAAAGUCAUAGUAAAUGUAAACUUCUGAAGAUUAGUAAUGACAUGGCUGAGGAUGUAUAUUUACUUUCAGAAAAAGAAAUCAUCUAGAAAUUAAGGACAGUGGUUAAUGAACUGAAGUUCAUAUGUUGGCCAGUGAACAAUGAGAAUUUUAAAAGCAGAUAACUUUCCAGAUUAUUUAAAUGUUGUGUUCAUGGGUAACACUUACUCUAUUAAUUACGUUUAUAUAUAAGUUUCAUGAUUAUUCAUUUGGGGUCAGUGCUCUGGCUUUCCUGACUUGAAGUCCUUUGUUUCAUGUUGGAUUUUUUUUUUUAAAUGGCCACAUUUGUGGCAUAUGGAAGCUCCCAGACUAGAGGUUGAAUUGGAGCUGUAGCUACCCGCCUACACACCACAGCCACAGCAGCACUGUAUCUGUGUGGCAUCUGUGACCUAUGCUGCAUCUUGCAAACAGCGCCGGACCCUUAAUCCACUGAGUGAGGCCAGGGAUCAAACCUGAAUCUUCACGGACACUAUGUUGUGCACCACAGCAGGAACUCCCAAGAGUUUGUUUUGUAAGUGAAGUCUGAUGGGAUAAUGGAGCCUGCCGUAGAACUGGAAGCCUUGGUUCAGAUGACUGCCUCCUUGGGGUGAGGUCUCUUCUGCUUUCCACUGCUUACUUCCCCUCCUCCAGGGACUCAAAAGGCCUGGACUCUUAUCCCCUGCUCCUGCCCCACAACUGCUUCUGUCUUUAGGCCCUGGAAGGAGGGUGUUUCAGGGUGUACAAGAGGUGAGGAUGUUUCGGGACAUGGCGUUGAUGUGGCCAUCCACAUGCCAGAGUGUUACAACGAUGUCUCAGCAGAUUGAACCUCUCACCCAUCCCAGUUUGGGUACCUGGGAUCUAGCUACCUGCUUGCAUAGAGUUUGCAGUGCUUCUGGGGUCAGAGGGUUGGGUUGGUGUACCUGUGUAAAGGAAGAUGCCUGACUUUCCCUCCCCAGUUGGUGCGCAGAGGGCUGGUCUGUGGCUGGAGGGAGGGAGAGCUCGUUACUUGGUGUGUGGGCUGUUAGUGUGCGCUGUGGGGACACACGUAGGGUGGUACAUAAACGUGCACUCACCCUGCAGGCAUCCCUGUGCCUGAAGGAUGGAAACAAUGAGUAGCAGGUAAACAACACUGUGGCAAGUUGGGAGAAACUGCAGGCAAAGGGAAGAUCUUGCUAUUUUUAGUACCUUUUGUGGAAGCUUUCCUCUGCCUUUUUUAAAUAAAUUUUUUUUUUUUUUAUUUUAGGGCUGCAUCCAUGGCAUAUGGAGGUUCCCAGGCUAGGGGUCGAAUCAGAGUUGUAGCUGCCAGCCUAUGCCACAGCCACAGCAACACCAGAUCCGAGCCGUGUCUGCAAGCUACACCACAGCCUCCUGCAAUGCCAUAUCCUCAACCCAAUGAGCGAGGCCAGGGAUUGAACCCAUGUCCUCAUGGUUGCUAGUCAGAUUUGUUUCUGCUGAGCCAUGAUUGGAAGUCCUCCUCUGCCUUUUGAACAGGGGGCCCCAGGCCCUACUUUUUCAUCUUUCACGGGGCCCUACAAAUUAUGGAGCCCAUACUGAUAGGCAUAGUGUUAACUUUAGCAGUCAUGUACUGUACACAGUGCCCACUUGUUUCCACUACAUCAUCCUAUAUUUGCUUCAAAUUUCAGUGACAUAAUAAGAAGAUAUUCAGUGAGACUGUGUGGGGACUAGAGCAGCACAAAACCCGUAAUGAUAUAAAUAUGUGGUGGAAAAUUACAAUAAAACCCUUGCAUCUUCCACUUUAAUUUUGCCUCAAGGAAAUGGCAAAAUGCCCAGCUGGCACUAACCAGUUCCAAAUGAGCUGCCAAAACUGCUAGGUGCUGAAAUACAUAGUUUGUUGCUCUUCCCCAUUUUGGUGCUUGACUAUAGGUUUUGAGGUUGGUGUUUCAAAGCCAGAGCAGGUGUCUGCCACCUGGAAACAUUUUCUUGAGUGCCUUGCUAAUAUCAACACAAUGAGACCUAUUGAAGUGUAUUUUUACAUAACACUGAGACUGCUUUACAUGUGUAUACAUGUCUAUUGAAAGACAAUCAUAAAUAGGCCUAAAAUGUUUUCAUCUGGAAUCCAAAGGGAUAUGAUUUGUGUCUUGGAACAAUGAAGGAUUCUUUAAAAAAGGAACAUGCUGGUAGAAAACAUUCAGAUAAAAUUAAAGUAUUUGAAAAGUUUGUAAAUGUAAGUUGAAGUACUAGCACAACAAAAUUAGAUUGCUUCACCUUCAGAGCCUUACAGAUAGAGGUACGUGGUAGCUAUCAGAUAGUAGUGCUCAUGGGGCAUGAGGAAUAAAUACAGUUGUUGGGGCAGAUUUCCAUCUCAGAGGCCAAAGGACCUCUCUUGUUUCAUUUGAAAAAAGUACCUACAUUUUGCUAUUUGUAAAUGCAUUUCUCUGUCAGAUCCUUUUAGGACACUAAAGGGCAGUUCCUUCUCUCCAGUGAAGACUUUUCGUUUCCUUAAGUCAGUGCUAGAGUUUUCCAUGAGUAUUUCUGCAUAUAUAUUAUAUUAGGGUUCAGUGAAUGUCAGAAGUUUCCGAGGUCAGUUUUUGUCUUAGUGCUUGUCUGAACAAUCUGAACUUUUUCCAGGACUCAUCUAACCAAACAACUGCUUUGUUUAUAGUUCUGCCUGACCUGAAGUAUACUCUGCAUAAUGUGCUGGUCGUUUUCUGAUUCAGACUACAUACUUCAGACUGGGUACACUCAGCACAUUUCUUCCCCAGCAACGUGAAGGCCAGGCAGAGAGGGCGCAUUGAAAUCUAGGCUUAAUAAAGCAUGUAUUUUCAUCAUUUGUUUUACAUCCUAAUCGCCUUAGUCCAAACCUAUUUCUAGAACCGCAAAUAAG